rnacentral:sRNA from 1 species
GCUGGGCAUGGUGGUGCAUGCCUGUAAUCCCAGGGACUUGGGAGGCUGAAGCAGGAGGGUUUCAAGUUUGAGGCCAGCCUCAGCAACUUAGUGAGGCCCUAAGGAACUUAGUGAGACCCUGUCUCAA